rnacentral:rRNA from 1 species
CUACGGGUCGCACCAGUGGGGAAUAUUGGACAAUGGGGGAAACCCUGAUCCAGCAAUGCCGCGUGUGUGAAGAAGGCCUGCGGGUUGUAAAGCACUUUCGGUUGGGAGGACUGCUUCUAGCACUAAUAUUGUUGGAAGUUGACGUUACCUUCAGAAGAAGCACCGGCUAACUCCGUGCCAGCAGCCGCGGUAAUACGGAGGGUGCAAGCGUUAAUCGGAAUUACUGGGCGUAAAGCGCGCGUAGGCGGCAAGAUCAGUCGGGUGUGAAAGCCCCGGGCUUAACCUGGGAACUGCAUCCGAUACUGUCUAGCUUGAGUACAGGAGAGGAGAGUGGAAUUCCACAUGUAGCGGUGAAAUGCGUAGAUAUGUGGAGGAACACCAAUGGCGAAGGCAGCUCUCUGGCCUGAUACUGACGCUGAGGUGCGAAAGCGUGGGGGGCAAACAGGAUUAGAUACCCCCGUAGUC